rnacentral:rRNA from 1 species
UACGUAGGGCGCAAGCGUUAUCCGGAAUUAUUGGGCGUAAAGAGCUCGUAGGCGGUUUGUCGCGUCUGCUGUGAAAACGCGAGGCUUAACCUCGCGCCUGCAGUGGGUACGGGCAGACUAGAGUGCGGUAGGGGAGACUGGAAUUCCUGGUGUAGCGGUGGAAUGCGCAGAUAUCAGGAGGGAACACCGGUGGCGAAGGCGGGGUCUCUGGGGCCGUUACUGACGCUGAGG